GGCUGCGUGACCAAGUGGUUAAGGUGCCGGUCUUCGAUAAAAGUGCGUUGCUUGCUCGUCGAGCAGGCAACGCCUGUACAACCGGAAGUCGUGGGUUCGACCCCCACCGUGGUCG